AAUUAGAAUAACAUUUAAAAUGUAAAUAAAAAUGCAAUUAAAAAAGAAAGCCACUAUUAAUAUUCUUUUAUAUAUAUAUAUUUGUCACAAGACCAGAAAUUGUUCUAAGUUAUAAGACAAGAAUGGACAUCUUGCUGUCAUAAUGUAAAUAGAUCUUAGGGUAAGUUUGCAUUAGAGUUGAUGUCAAUAAAUUGGUCUUCAAAAAUUAUAUCAAUUUAUAUUUCUUCCAUUGCUACAUGGGACUUUCUAAUUCCAAACUUACUUUAAAAUAUUCAUAUUCUUAUUGUUAGUUUUUACCAUCCUUCUGUGAACAAAUUGCCAUCUCUUUCUUGAACCUAACAAAAACUAAUUAAGUAACAAACAUCUAUCCCUACUUCCUAAGGAGGCUAGAAGUCCAAGAGGCAUUGUUAUAUUCUUGGUGAGGACCGUCUUCUGGGUUACUUCCUUACAAGUCUCUCACUGAAGGCACCAAGAUGAAAACAAACGGAUAAAAUCAACAAAAACAUCUGCUUUACCCCUGGCCAUGUAGUGAAAUUAAUCAAGAGCUACUGACAUACAGAUGGAGCACAAGAACCAUAAAACCCGAAACUUAAAAUAUAAGAGCGCUUUAGAAAGCUUCUAAUGAAAAUGUAGUCUUCAGACGUAUGAGCCACGGACAUGGAUGACAACAAAGGUGCAAAGGCCUGGAGUCAAAUAUUAAACUGAGCUCCGGAGUCCUUUGAAGGAGAGAGAAGAGGUAUCAGAGGAAGCAGGGAUACCUGGGACACACCAGGAGAACUGGAUCCGCUGGACCUACUGACCAGGACUCACAGAUAUUUGAAGAGAUCAGAGAGUCUGUAGGGGUCUGACCUACACCUCUGCAUGUAUGUUAUGGCUGAUUGGUUGAUGUUCUUGUAGAAAUUCUAAGGGGAGGGGUGUCCCAGACUCUUUUGCCUACUUGGGAAACCCCAAUGCGACUGGACUUACUGUAGCUUGCUAUGCAGUGUUUGGUUGAUAUCCCUGGGAGAGCUGCUCUUCUCUGAGAGGAGGGGGAAGGGUGGAUCUGAGGGAAAGGGCAGG